AUUGCAUGUGACUAACAUCGAGAAUGAACAAUGCAAGAGUUUGCUGGAGUCGUAGUCCAAAUCCAAUGUAUGGCUCGGACUAAUAUGGUCUUAUGACCCCCACCAUCCAGGAUUACUGGAGCCUUA